rnacentral:rRNA from 1 species
UACGUAGGGUGCGAGCGUUGUCCGGAAUUAUUGGGCGUAAAGGGCUCGUAGGCGGUUUGUCGCGUCGGGAGUGAAAACUCAGGGCUUAACCCUGAGCCUGCUUCCGAUACGGGCAGACUAGAGGUAUGCAGGGGAGAACGGAAUUCCUGGUGUAGCGGUGAAAUGCGCAGAUAUCAGGAGGAACACCAAUAGCGAAGGCAGCUCGCUGGGACGUUACUGACGCUGAGGCGCGAAAGCCAGGGGAGCGAACGGG